UACGUAGGGUGCGAGCGUUAAUCGGAAUUACUGGGCGUAAAGCGUGCGCAGGCGGCGCGUUAAGUCAGGUGUGAAAGCCCCGAGCUUAACUUGGGAAUUGCGCUUGUGACUGGCGAGCUGGAGUGUGGCAGAGGGAGGUGGAAUUCCACGUGUAGCAGUGAAAUGCGUAGAUAUGUGGAGGAACACCGAUGGCGAAGGCAGCCCCCUGGGUUAACACUGACGCUCAUGCACGAAAGCGUGGGGAGCAAACAGG
rnacentral:rRNA from 1 species